UACGAAGGGGGCUAGCGUUGCUCGGAAUGACUGGGCGUAAAGGGCGCGUAGGCGGAUGGCACAGUCAGGCGUGAAAGCCCCGGGCUUAACCUGGGAGGUGCGUUUGAUACGGAUGGGCUAGAGUUCGGGAGAGGAGAGUGGAAUUCCCAGUGUAGAGGUGAAAUUCGUAGAUAUUGGGAAGAACACCGGUGGCGAAGGCGGCUCUCUGGACCGAGACUGACGCUGAGGCGCGAAAGCGUGGGGAGCAAACAGG
rnacentral:rRNA from 1 species